AGUGAACGCUGGCGGUAGGCCUAACACAUGCAAGUCGAACGGCAGCACAGGAGAGCUUGCUCUCUGGGUGGCGAGUGGCGGACGGGUGAGGAAUACAUCGGAAUCUACUCUGUCGUGGGGGAUAACGUAGGGAAACUUACGCUGAUACCGCAUACGACCUACGGGUGAAAGCAGGGGACCUUCGGGCCUUGCGCGAUUGAAUGAGGCGAUGUCGGAUUAGCUAGUUGGCGGGGUAAAGGCCCACCAAGGCGACGAUCCGUAGCUGGUCUGAGAGGAUGAUCAGCCACACUGGAACUGAGACACGGUCCAGACUCCUACGGGAGGCAGCAGUGGGGAAUAUUGGACAAUGGGCGCAAGCCUGAUCCAGCCAUACCGCGUGGGUGAAGAAGGCCUUCGGGUUGUAAAGCCCUUUUGUUGGGAAAGAAAUCCAGCUGGCUAAUACCCGGUUGGGAUGACGGUACCCAAAGAAUAAGCACCGGCUAACUUCGUGCCAGCCGCCGCAGUAA
rnacentral:rRNA from 1 species